rnacentral:rRNA from 1 species
ACUAACUCUAGCCCUGACACACUUUUAUAUAACAAUUCUACCAUAAUAUAAAUCAAAACAUUCAGUAUUAAAAAAGUAUUGGAGAAAGAAAUUUUACACAGGAGCUAUAGAAUAAGUACCGUAAGGGAAAGAUGAGAGAAUAAUUAAAAGUAAAGACAAGCAAAGAUUAAACCUUGUACCUUUUGCAUAAUGAGUUAACUAGAAAAAUUUUAACUAAAAGAAUUUAAGCUAAAAACCCCGAAACCAAACGAGCUACCUAAGAACAACUUUAUGAGUCAACCCGUCUAUGUGGCAAAAUAGUGGGAAGAUUUUUAGGUAGAGGUGAAAAGCCUAUCGAGCUUGGUGAUAGCUGGUUACCCAAAAAAUGAAUUUCAGUUCAAUUUUAAAUUUACUAAAAAAAUUAUAGAAUUUUAAAGUAAGUUUAAAAUUUAGCCAAAAGAGGGACAGCUCUUUAGGAAUGGAAAAAACCUUAAAUAGUGAAUAAACUAAUCAAACUAAACAAACCAUUGUAGGCCUAAAAGCAGCCACCAAUAAAGAAAGCGUUCAAGCUCAACAUUGUAGUUGAAAUAAUUCCAUAAGUAAAAUAAAUUCCUAUACUUAAAUUGGGUUAAUCUAUUAUUAUAUAGAUGAAAUACUGUUAAUAUGAGUAACAAGAAUUAUAUUCUCCUUGCACAAGUGUAUAACAACUCGGAUACCCAUUGUUAGUUAUCAAACUAUAGGUCAAACCCAACAAAUAAACCCACCUAAAAAUUUAUUGUUAACCCAACACAGGAGUGCUAUAAGGAAAGAUUAAAAAAAAUAAAAGGAACUCGGCAAGCCGGAACCCCGCCUGUUUACCAAAAACAUCACCUCUAGAAUAACAAAUAUUAGAGGCAUUGCCUGCCCAGUGACUAAAGUUUAACGGCCGCGGUAUCCUGACCGUGCAAAGGUAGCAUAAUCACUUGUUCUCUAAUUAGGGACUAGAAUGAACGGCUAAACGAGGGUUCAACUGUCUCUUAUUUUUAAUCAGUGAAAUUGACCUUCCAGUGAAGAGGCUGGAAUUGUAUAAUAAGACGAGAAGACCCUAUGGAGCUUUAAUUUAACAGUUUAAUUAAUUAAUAUAACUAACCUAAAUGGAAUAACAGAUAAUAAUAUAAACUUAAAAUUUCGGUUGGGGUGACCUCGGAGAAAAAAUAAUCCUCCGAAUGAUUAUAACUUAGACUAACAAGUCAACGUACAUAUUGAAUCUUAUUGACCCAAUUUUUGAUCAACGGACCAAGUUACCCUAGGGAUAACAGCGCAAUCCUACUUAAGAGUUCAUAUCGACAGUUAGGGUUUACGACCUCGAUGUUGGAUCAGGACAUCCCAAUGGUGCAGAAGCUAUUAAUGGUUCGUUUGUUCAACGAUUAAAGUCCUACGUGAUCUGAGUUCAGACCGGAGUAAUCCAGGUCGGUUUCUAUCUAUUCACAAUUUCUCCCAGUACGAAAGGACAAGAGAAAUAGAGCCACCUUAUCAAUAAGCGCUCUCUACCUAACAUAUGAAAAAAUCUAAAUAUAGAAAGGCUGUUUAUCUAUUUACCUAGACAAGGUC